GCCCUUCUCGGGUCCCCUAGGUCGCGGGGCAGCCGGGGCGGAAGGGGCUUGUUCAUUAUUUUGAGAGUUUGUUGUGAACGUCAUAACCUUUCGUCCUUAAAUAUUGCCGAUACUUGACCUACGCAAGAGACAAUGUCAUGUGAUUCAGCCUAAUAUCUCAGAGGAUGCAGCAUUCAAGGUUCUAUCUUGGAAGCAGAGACUGUGCCCUCACCAGAUGCUGAACCUGCUGAGCACCCUGAUCUUCCACUUCACCUUCAUCAGAACUGUCUUUGAGGAAUUGUCACACUGUCUUCUGCAAUGGAUGAACUAAUUUACACUCUCAACAACAGUGUAUAAGCAUUCCUUUUGCUCUGCAACCUCACCAGACAUCUGGACGCGCAUGAAAUUUGGUGCCGUGACUCGGAUCGGCGGACCUCCCUUAGGAGAUCAAUCCCCUGUCCUCCUGCUCUUUGCUCCAUGAGAAAGAUCCACCUACGACCUAAGGUCCUCAGACCAACCAGCCCAAGAAACAUCUCACCAAUUUCAAAUCCGAAAUCCUUCAUCUAAUCUGGCAAACACAUGUGGCAGGUUUUUCUCACCGCAUAAAAUAUGUUAUAGAGUAGUCCAUCUAUUUCUCUUCCAUGGAAGAGUUCAUCUGGUAGAUUGGACUACCACUUUUCCUUGAAGAGGAAGAAGAAGAGGGAGGAAGGAGAGAAAAAAGGAAGGAAGGAAAGAAGAAAAGAAAAAAGAAUGAGAGAGAGAGAACAAAAGCAUCACCAAUAAGUGACGCUAGGAGCUAGCCCAAUGCAGAAGAAUGAAAUUGGACCCUUUUCUUUCACCAUAUACAAAAACUCACUCAAGAUGGGUGAAAGACUUAAAUGUAAAACCUAAAACUGUAAAAACCCUAGGAAACCUACGAAAUGUCAUUCUGGAUAUAGACCCUGGCAAGGAUUUCAUGAUAAAGACUCCAAAAGCAAUUGCAACAGAAACAAAAA
rnacentral:lncRNA from 1 species